rnacentral:lncRNA from 14 species
AGCUCAAACAGUAAAGCUGUGAAUUUACCAUUUGCAUAUCUUUGGAAGUUCAUAUGGGAGAGAGGGUUGAGCCUCACAGCAUGACUUUUAGGGAUGAACUAGCACUUGGAGCUCCUUAAAUUUAUCCUGAUAGGAUUUAACCCAGUUGUAUAAAGCUCUCACAUUUUUGGGGAGAGAAUAUUUGUGCAUUCAUUAAACAUUCUGGUGAAGUACAGCGGGCUGAGAUGAUUCCAUUUCUUUUAGGUUUUGCUAUGCAAAGCUUGCCACCAUGACAGCUGGCUGUUUAGUUCCCAGGUUAAUCUAAGUGAUGAUGAUCUGAAGUUUAGGUAUGUGUAUGUAGUUAAUAAACUCAGUACUACUAAUGAGGUAAAAAUCUAUGCUAAAUGCUUUUGGUGGUAUCCAACGAAUUGCCAGCAACCCCGAUCUUUGCCUUUUCUGGCUAACAGUUUCAUCCACUGUUGUUUGCUGGAUUGCAGUUUCAGGAAAGAGCGUUAUUUCUCAUCUCUGAGGGCUGAACUUUGAACUACAGGACCAUCUGCUUCUGAGACAUCUCUAAAAUAACUCCGUGCCACAACAUUGCAGUUUCAGGACCUUUGGAGAUAGUCGUAGUCAUCUUGGUUUGUGUUUUCUGAAAACCAUUUCCUGUCAUAUGUAGAUAUUUUUUUCUGUAUGAAGAGUUACAGAUUAAAUUUAUGAUCUCAUGUGGUACUACUAACCUCUAAUGAUAUAUUAGAUUUGUUACAGCCUUAUCAGAAAAUGUUUCAAACAUCUAUGUCCUUGCAGUCACCAUCAAAUGUACAAGUCACUGCAUUUAUAGCAAAAUUUUGCUGAGUUAGUACUAUACUUCCACUGUAACUUUGAAAUGCUGUAACUUUGAAAUACUGAAAUAAUGUGAAAUGAAAAUUUAUGGCCAUGAAGUUAGCAAUUUUUAUAUCGCUUUUCAAUCACUAUUAUAAUUAUUUGCUUCUUUGAACUGUUAGUUUGCAUAUGAAACAGUUAAAAUCUUUUGAGUGUUGCCUCGAUUAGUAUAAUGCUUGUGAUCUUCAGAGUGGGAUGCUGUCCUGGGAAGCUCUUCAUUCUACUGCUCUGCUCAGUUAAAAAAUAUCCUGAAUUGCUCAUGUGCUUUAGCGUAGUAACCAUUUUCCCUUGCAUUUAAAAUACUCUUCACUUUUACCUUCAGUUUUGUUCAGAAUUGUCUUGUUAUUCAGUGUAACAACUUUUAACUCUCAAUCUCUAAUGUGUUACUCUAUUUUUAUUAUUUUAUGAUUUCAUACUAUAUGAUAGUUAGCAUUAAAACAAGCCAACAAAAAUAGGAUACUACUUUACUUGACAGAUGCGCAAAUCUCAUAUGCUGCACUAACAAGCCUGUAGCUGAAGACAAGGGGGCAGUAGAGAGGGAAGGAAUUAAUGUAAUUUAAGUAUAUACAACUGCUGAUACUAUUAAAAAAUACGUUGUUCUCUGUGUACAUAAAAUGGAUGUGCCAAAUAAGUAUUUUCUGGGAUUUUACGUGCCUGCUAAUAU